rnacentral:RNase_P_RNA from 1 species
GAGGAAAGUCCGGGCUCCGCAGGACAGGAUGCCAGGUAACACCUGGGGGGCGAGAGCCUACGGAAAGUGCCACAGAAAAUAUACCGCCCUGUUUUGGCAGGGUAAGGGUGAAAUGGCGCGGUAAGAGCGCACCGCAUGGCUGGUAACAGGCAUGGCAGGGUAAACCCCAUCCGGAGCAAGACCAAAUAGGGGAACACUGGUGUGGUCCGCACUGUUCCCGGGUAGGUUGCACGAGGUGCUUGGUGACGAGCAUCCCAGAUGAAUGACUGCUCAACGACAGAACCCGGCUUAU